AGGGGUGUCCAAAGUGCGGCCGAGGGGCCGUUUGUGUCCGUUGGACUGACUUUGUGUGGCCCCCAACUGCAAUUAAAAAAUGAUAAAAAUUUGGCUCAGAGAUGGCGAAUUAUAAUUUG